rnacentral:rRNA from 1 species
CCCUCAAGAUGAGAUAUCCCAUCGAAAGAUUAAGACCCCUUGAAGACGACGAGGUAGAUAGGAAUGAGGUGUAAGCACAGUAAUGUGUUCAGCUGACAUUUACUAAUCGGUCGAGGGCUUAACCUA